rnacentral:lncRNA from 1 species
GGUUAAGAAUAUUUUCAGUGACGUAACUGCGAGCGUAACCAGAUCAGUUUAAAUGAAAUAAAAAUGAAUUCGCUGCUGUGAAAACUUUAUGGCGGUAAAAAUAUAUCACGCUGGAAAAGUAUUGCAGAAACAUGAAGUCGACGAAGCACAGCUAGAAGACAGCAAGAUGACCUGUCAGCAACGUCGUUGAGUGACUCCUCUUGCACCUCGUGUACAUUCGUCGCCCGAUUUACAAUACUUGCAAUCCAUAAGACGAUGAAGAAAAAUGGCUUUUUUCGUACAAAUUUAGUAUCUGGCUCACCAUAACGUGAAUAAAAAAAAUGCUCGAAGAACUGCAGUUACGAAAUAAGAUAAUUUUGAGAUAAUCAGACAACACAUCGUAGACGUCACAGAUAUUCGAACGACAAUUAAUUAUUAAAUUAUAGAGCUAAAAACUUUUUGUAAAUUAAUAUGAUGUUUAAAUGCAGUGUGAAGAAAAUUCAAUCGCGUUCAUCUAGACGGCCGACACCACGUGCGACUCACCAUCUCGUAGAGCGCGAGAGUUCUCUAAUUUAUUACAUAAGCAAUCCCCUGUGCCUCUUAAUUCGCUAAGGCAAUUCAAGGAAAUCGUCGAUAGGUGGCUAAAUCGAUGAAACAAAGAGGCAUUUUAUCUUACAAAUGGCGACGAUGCGAAACUCGAGACUGAAAUUAUUGAUUCGAGAUCUCAGGAGCUUUGAAGUUGAGACCUAGCGAAAUCCUGGGAGAACCUCAGAGAACCAGGGAGAGAGAAACAUAGGAGAGAAAUGAAGAGAGUAAAAGAAAUUGCGAUUGAACACCAGUCUGAUUCAUCGCUGAAUUUCCCAAGCACGUUCUUUAUUUCUCUUCCUUGACCGCGAUAAUGAGAUCUGGAUCGAGUGUCACGAUACUAUUUUCGGACAUGACAGGAUCAAUAACCCGACCACAUUUCCGCGAAGAAGAGGUGCAACACAUGAUUUUAUAGGAAGUCCCCAAAGGUGCCGACAAUAUUUGAACACGUGACAGAAGGAACUCCAUAUUACUCAAAUAAGUAUAUCUUGUCUAACGAAAAAGGAAGGUCCCGAUGUGCUCGUCAGUUUUAUGGCUGGGUCAGGCAACAAGCUGUUCCAAUAGAAAGUCGUUGGGCAUUACUAGCAGUAACUUAGUAUCGUUCAUGGUCUUCUUUAUAACCUCCUGUGGAGAAUUUUGAGCUACGGUUCCUUUUUAAUUCUUCAGCGGAAAAUCUUCUUUUCUCCGUCCAGGAAGAGAAGACAAUAAAACGACCAAAAAUACACGUCUGGAUCUCAGAGUCAGAGUGUAUGAAGUCACACUUCACAAAUUCACAGAAGAGAAAAUCAAAGAUGUGGAGAUCACGAUUGAAAUAUAGUUGAGUCAAAACAAAAUUAUUUUAAUAUAAAAUAAAAAUAUUAUUAAAAAUGUGGACGUAAUACACUCUGUCUCUGGGGUUAUUGCUUCACGUGCCAACUCACCAGACAUAAUAUAAAAGUUCCAGUAACCGCAUAGCCUGUUGAUUCUAUUAAAAAUUUGAAUUAGUAAAACAUGUUUAAAAUAAGGAAUGACGAUAAUUGUAAAGAGUCCAAACAGUUUUAUUGCACGUAAGGAAUGAUCGAAGCUACGGAAGAGAGAUUGUAGUGACAAAAGCGAAUAAUCAUUUUAUGCUAGCUAGAGGAAAGCAUACCUAUUGCGCGGGACGACGCUUCAAACUGUCUGACGAACGAGAAGAGUUCUCGGAAUUCAUGAACGAGAAGCAAGGGAAUAGGAAGCUUGUCGUUAUCGAAAAAAAAUUCUUUAUCGUCACCGCAAAACUAACGUCAUCUUGUUAAUGUUUACUCCAUUCGGCUUGAUACAUACACACGACAACCGUAGAACUCUCAUUACACUUAUACGUCUUAUUCUGUGUGUGUAGACCCUCGUUAUAUCGCCGUUGAUGUAUUAUGGCAGUGUGACAAGGCAACUUCACACAGAGAUGGCAAUAUAACGAGAGUCUACCAUAAUUCAAUUCGCAACAGACAACUUAAAUUAUCAAUAUUUAUUCAAAUCAAUAUAAAUAUAAAUAGGAGCAGAAUGUGCGCAAUCAUCGAAGCGGCUAUAAGGAAAGAGGUUUCUUUAGCGUGGCUCGCGACGCAUGUACAACGCCUCCAACGAUUCUUGAGCACACGAUCGUCGCACGUUUCACAUACUGUACUUGAUCUGGUCGUAAUACAUCGUCGUCGAUGGCGUCGUGGUCGUGUGAUGAAUGUUCGAGGAAAC